rnacentral:rRNA from 1 species
AGAGUUUGAUCCUGGCUCAGAGCGAACGUUAGCGGCAGGCUUAACACAUGCAAGUCGAGCGAGAAAGGGGCUUCGGCCCUGAGUACAGCGGCGGACGGGUGCGUAACACGUGGAUAAUCUGCCCUCUAGUGGGGAACAACAGUCCGAAAGGAUUGCUAAUGCCGCAUGUGCCCGCUGGGUCUCCGGACCGGGUGGGAAAA